UCAGAGGCGAUGAAGGACGUACUAACCUGCGAUAAGCCGUGAGCAGUCGGUAAGAGACAUUACGACUCACGGAUUUCCGAAUGGGGAAACCCACUUAGCAUAAGCUAGGUAUCGCUACGUGAAUACAUAGCGUAGCGAGGCGAACCGGGAGAACUGAAACAUCUAAGUACCCCGAGGAAAAGAAAUCAACCGAGAUUCCCUCAGUAGCGGCGAGCGAACGGGGAUUAGCCCUU
rnacentral:rRNA from 1 species